rnacentral:rRNA from 1 species
UACGUAGGGUCCGAGCGUUGUCCGGAAUUACUGGGCGUAAAGAGCUCGUAGGUGGUUUGUCGCGUUGUUCGUGAAAACUCACAGCUUAACUGUGGGCGUGCGGGCGAUACGGGCAGACUAGAGUACUGCAGGGGAGACUGGAAUUCCUGGUGUAGCGGUGGAAUGCGCAGAUAUCAGGAGGAACACCUGUGGCGAAGGCGGGUCUCUGGGCAGUAACUGACGCUGAGGAGCGAAAGCGUGGGGAGCGAACAGG